rnacentral:tRNA from 1 species
GGAGAGGUGCCGGAGUGGUCGAUCGGGGCGGUCUCGAAAACCGUUGUAGGGGUGACUCUACCGUGGGUUCGAAUCCCACCCUCUCCG